rnacentral:lncRNA from 10 species
GUCUGCCUGUGCUGAGAACUGUGUCCUAAAUUAUGCUACAUAUUAUGGGAGGUCAUUUUGUGCAGGAAGAUGUUGGUGUGUGGGAGAGAAAAAAAGGAGUCACAAUCUCUGCAUUCUGACUAGAGUCCACCUCCAGGAGAAGCGGGAAAACAAGGCAUAAGCUGCUAGAACUGAGGAGAGGGAAAAACAAGCAUCCGGCGAGGGCAGGAGGAACAGGAGAGGGGAGUCAUGGAUCUGCCUGGCCACCAGAGGGCAGCAGAGACGGGCUCACUGUCGGCUUCAAGGAUGUUCCGCAAGUCGAUUCACUUACAGACUCUUCUUCAAAUGCGGCGGUCACCUGUGACCCACAUUCAUAACUCCCUCAGCCACUAGACGACAAAAGAAGCCCUGAGUUUAGGCUGACUGAGAUUUUCAUUCUAGCUUUGCUAUACAUUUGGGCAAGCUUUACUUUGGGGAAAGGAAAGAAAAAUCAGCAGCUCUCAUCUCCUGGAGGCACAGUGGCUUGUCCUCCACAGUCCCCUCGGUUUGCUGACUGACUGGAGGAGAGAGAGCACCUGCAGAAGCCCUGCGACUCCUCCCCCAGAUGUGGGAGCCUAUAAGACUAAAGUUCCCAGGAAGAGAUGUAAGCUUCGGUGAAACCCACCUCAGUUGACUCCAAAACUAAUGCAGAUGCCCCCUUGGGGAAUUGCGGGGAGAGGGUGUACAGAAUGUGUUAAUACCAUCACACUCCUCCCAGGACCCCAAAGAAGCUGCACUCACAGAGAUAUCCGGGCAUGUCUCACACUGGAAAUAGGGGACCCUUCCAAAUAUUGGGAGAAAGAAGGCAAAGAAAAUCAUACCGAUAUACUAAGCCUCCUGCAUUUGCACCCAUCCAGCCUGCCAUUCAUCCUGGGUUCUUUUACUUGGUCCUCUUGGGGCCUCUGAGAGGAUCUCCAUCUCUGCGAAGUGCAUUCCCCACCGGGCUGUUGCAGUUCCACACAUGGCCAGUAGAUGACAGCACCACGUCAAAUGACAAAACACUUGCUAUUUUCUUAGUCCACUGGAGGAGCCUAUUGUCAGAGGCCAAACCUGGAUUAUUAGCUCCAAAGAAGCACUCAGAUCA